CCGCGUCUGAGAGCUGUCACGCUGCUAGAGGUGAAGGCUGGGGAAGGCCCAGCGGUGCUGAGCCCCUCGGCUUUGGGCAGCUGUGCGCAGUCCAGAAGCGUCUACGGAACUCCUGCUCUAGGUGACAGCACAACCAAAGCCACGGGACAUUUCCCGAUGGCUCUUAGUAAGCCGAAGUUCCUCGGAGUCAUGCAGACAGAGAAACUGAUUAAGCAGAGAAACGCUGAAAAUAAUUCUGCUAAAGCACUUCAAGAUGUCCACGCAAAGACUCUCUCCCCCUCAGCCCUUCUGAUGUUUCUGUUAGGUGAGGCUUGUGAUGAGGGGAGCCGGAGAGCAGCACGCUUUCACGUGGUAGCGUUCGGCAUUUUUACUGCUUCCUGCGCAGCAGAUGAGCAGACCGCUAUCCUUCGUGCCCUUGCAUGCCAGGAGACUGCUUGAAACGAGUAUGGAAAAGCUGGAGCGUUUUUAGCAGCGACUUUGACUCUAUAGGCAGCCUGAUGCCACGUGGAUGCAACAUGCCCUCGCUGUUUAAAGACUUUGAUUCGUUACUGGCAUUUUUUUUGCUUUCGUUAUACAGCUUAAGCAUCCGAGCUGCCCCAUGCAAGCACUUGGACGCUUUUGCAUGCGUGGUUAUUGCAGUACACCUGGAAUCAAGCUGAUGUUAACUGAAAUAGAUCAUUUUUUCCCAAUUAAAAGUUUUAUUUCCUUGUA